rnacentral:rRNA from 1 species
CCUACGGGUGGCUGCAGUGGGGAAUUUUGGACAAUGGGGGCAACCCUGAUCCAGCCAUGCCGCGUGAGUGAAGAAGGCCUUCGGGUUGUAAAGCUCUUUCAGACGGAAAGAAACGGUCACGGCGAAUACCCGUGACUAAUGACGGUACCGUAAGAAGAAGCACCGGCUAACUACGUGCCAGCAGCCGCGGUAAUACGUAGGGUGCGAGCGUUAAGUGGAAUUACUGGGCGUAAAGCCGGAACAGGCGGGUGAAAUCCCCGGGCUUAACCUGGGAACUGCAUUUGUGACUGCGAGACUAGAGUGUAGCAGAGGGGGGUAGAAUUCCACGUGUAGCAGUGAAAUGCGUAGAGAUGUGGAGGAAUACCGAUGGCGAAGGCAGCCCCCUGGGCUAACACUGACGCUCAUGCACGAAAGCGUGGGGAGCAAACAGGAUUAGAUACCCUUGUAGUC